rnacentral:rRNA from 1 species
AGAGUUUGAUCCUGGCUCAGGAUGAACGCUAGCGGCAGGCUUAAUACAUGCAAGUCGAGGGGCAGCGCGGGUAGCAAUACUUGGCGGCGACCGGCAAACGGGUGCGGAACACGUACGCAACCUUCCUUUAAGUGGGGGAUAGCCCAGGGAAACUUGGAUUAAUACCCCUUAACAUUAUGAAGUGGCAUCACUUUAUAAUU